CACACGACUCUCGGCAACGGAUAUCUCGGCUCUCGCAUCGAUGAAGAACGUAGCGAAAUGCGAUACCUGGUGUGAAUUGCAGAAUCCCGCGAACCAUCGAGUCUUUGAACGCAAGUUGCGCCCGAGCCACUCGGCGAGGGCACGCCUGCCUGGGCGUCACGC
rnacentral:rRNA from 1 species